rnacentral:lncRNA from 1 species
AAACAGGCUCCAAAAGCUUGUUACUUGCUUGUAGUCAAACAGAAGGCAGAGCUGCGAAUCAAAUCCAGGUUUGUCUCGACAUGCCACUAGCUCAUACUUCCCUUGGAUCAGCCACUAAAUGGCUUUCACUCCAGUGAGCAGCGACCAGCACCAGAAUUAUGGAACAUUUAUCAACAGCCUAAAAUAAAGACAACACGAGGAGAAUUUGGUUGCUUAUAUAGAUUCAAGGUACAAUCCUGCUGGAUUCUGGAAGAAAUAUCACAGUGUGCAUGCACAGAAGUACGACCAUGUGAAGAGGUAGCAAGAGAGCAGCAAUCUACAAGCCAAGGAAAGAGGCCACAGAGGAAACCAACCCUGCCAGCAUCUUGAUCUUGGACUUCCAGCUUCCAGAACUAACCAGGGACCCCACUCCCAUGCCGACAGUAUGGGCUGCUGUCUUCAGGACCAUUGCAAGGCUGCAGGAAGACUUAGAGGCAUCAUCCUGCCUUGGCUUCUGGUUGCCAAGGUGUUCUGCCUGAUACCAACUUUGUCAGCAGUCACCAACUAGCCAUGCUUUUCCCUUGAAGGCACAUGUAGAUUGCCUAACCAUCCACACCAGGCAAACAAUUCUUCAAAUGUCAUGCCCUUUGCACUUCUGUUCAGAUCCAGCCUUAGAGAAGCUUGUGAAGCAAUGACUGUUUUAAUUGGUCUCCUGGGUACCCAGGCCUAAUCCUUUACCAAGUCACUAGUUAUCCCAUGUUCCUUAUCUGUCUGUCUAUCCAUCUAUCCUUCCAUCCUCAUCCAAUACUUACAGAAUGCCUAUGGCUGCAAAUACAAGGAUGACUGCUUGGUUCCUGCUGUCCAUAAACUCACAGCCUGGGAUAAGUGUCCUUCACGGUUCGGUUCACAUUUCACAAGCCCCAUGAAGUCUAUCUGGAUUUUCGAUGGAUGUCUUGCCUUUUCCUCUACACACUACAGGAAGAGUGGCCACCCCUGCCAAGGGCCUAGUAUAGUACCCUAUACAUGUAGCUGAUCAGUUGAUUGUUACUGAUCAUAUGUAUCCUGCAUCAUGUUAUAAAAAAUUAACACAGUGCUUGGCA